UUGAAAAUGUCAGGCUGUGGUCUGCAGGAGGUUAGACGGGAGAACAGCACAGCUCUAGUAGACAUGUACAACAGCAGUCACAGUGUGGAACAGUUCCUCCACAGCCCUGAUGUCAUGAUUCCACUGUAUGCCACCAAUAUUGAAGACCCUCAGGAAGAACUAUGCUUCUCCUUUGACAUUGAUGGCGUUGUCCUGGAAAUUUCUGCACUGGCUGCAAUAAAAAGUAGUGUCCACUACUUGAAGAUGCCACAUUUUGAAAGCAGGCACCUGAUCCACAAAUUCCACCACCUGAAGAAACACCUACCGCUUCAAGGCCUCAGUGGGAAUGCAAUGAAGUGUCUGCGCGCUAUGCUUGGAGUCACCCUUGGCCACGUGGAUGGGGGCUACUUCUUGGACCUGGCAGCAGUACCUAGGGACCUGAAACAACCCGACAUGCGCCUAGCUGACGAAAAAUGGCUUCGAGAGGUUGUAUUGGAAAUCCUCAAUGCCAUCCGAGCCGAUUUUGUGGCCAAGCUGAGAGCAUUGCCAGUGAGAGAGAAGAGCCGUCCCACCAUCCAGAAGAACUCACUGUGUCAGCUGGACAAAAUGAACAUUCUGGCGCAAGACCAGGAGUUCAUUCUGCAAAUCCUGGAUACCUGCAUUCAGAGGACAGUGGAUAGCCACCACUUUCGUAUUAUCGUGACUCUGCAGAAAUACGGCAUGAAGGACCGGAGGACCAUCAACGUGGAGGAAAUUGUUGACACCGCUCACAUAACCUCCAUGUCUGUUCACGCAGCAUGCAACAUCAAGGCCAAGGACCAGAACGUUGCCAUGUUGUGGUCAAGAUCUGGCCUGCAAGACUUGGUGGGCGUGCGAGGGAGCCUCUUCACAGCCAUGGGGAUGCAUGAGGCUGUGAAUUUUCAAACAUGCACUGACCAUCGCAUGAUGGACAUCAGCAGGGAACUGCGUCAAUUGUGUGUCCCAGCUUCCAUCAUCUUUCUCCAACUGUAUGUGGACUCACCCCACCUUCACAUCAGAAACCCAUUCAAACAUCCAGUGAGUGGAGUAAUUGCCACCUGUGGACUCUCUCAUCCGCAGUUCUGGAAGGCCAUGACGUCAAGGGCCAUGGGAUACCUAGACCACAUGGAGGAUCUGGCAGAAAAGAUGCUGUGCCCAUUUGUCCUGAG
rnacentral:lncRNA from 1 species